GCCCCCUUAGCUUAAUGGGAUAAAGCACAGGCCUCCGGAGCCUGGGAUGGGAGUUCGAUUCUCCCAGGGGGCG
rfam:Candidatus Omnitrophica bacterium 4484_49 ex4484_49_scaffold_65, whole genome shotgun sequence.